AUUGAACGCUGGCGGCAGGCUUAACACAUGCAAGUCGAACGGUAGCAGGAGAAAGCUUGCUUUCUUGCUGACGAGUGGCGGACGGGUGAGUAAUGCUUGGGAAUCUGGCUUAUGGAGGGGGAUAACGACGGGAAACUGUUGCUAAUACCGCGUAUUAUCGGAAGAUGAAAGUGCGGGACUGAGAGGCCGCAUGCCAUAGGAUGAGUCCAAGUGGGAUUAGGUAGUUGGUGGGGUAAAGGCCUACCAAGCCUGCGAUCUCUAGCUGGUCUGAGAGGAUGACCAGCCACACUGGAACUGAGACACGGUCCAGACUCCUACGGGAGGCAGCAGUGGGGAAUAUUGCGCAAUGGGGGGAACCCUGACGCAGCCAUGCCGCGUGAAUGAAGAAGGCCUUAGGGUUGUAAAGUUCUUUCGGUAUUGAGGAAGGUUGAUGUGUUAAUAGCACAUCAAAUUGACGUUAAAUACAGAAGAAGCACCGGCUAACUCCGUGCCAGCAGCCGCGGUAAUACGGAGGGUGCGAGCGUUAAUCGGAAUAACUGGGCGUAAAGGGCACGCAGGCGGUUAUUUAAGUGAGGUGUGAAAGCCCCGGGCUUAACCUGGGAAUUGCAUUUCAGACUGGGUAACUAGAGUACUUUAGGGAGGGGUAGAAUUCCACGUGUAGCGGUGAAAUGCGUAGAGAUGUGGAGGAAUACCGAAGGCGAAGGCAGCCCCUUGGGAAUGUACUGACGCUCAUGUGCGAAAGCGUGGGGAGCAAACAGG
rnacentral:rRNA from 1 species